GGGGGCGACAUGGCUUCGACGUGGGUCGCGAAACUCUGAGUGCAUGCCGAGGUACAGAAUACCUCGUUAAACUAUCUGUAAAAACUAUAGUUGCCAACGAAGACAACUACGCACUAGCUGCUUAAUAACCAGUUUAGCGCCUUCUGCCCGGUUAGUGCCUGUACGUCCGGUUAACAGGAGUCAUAUUUACAGGACAGUAAGUUUGAUAUGCUUAGGAUCAAAUUUAUUAAAACUUUACUGAGCUGGUAUUAAGUUUUCCUCUUUCAUUAGGUAGCUUAAUAUGAGAUUAAUAAUGAAAUAAGCAUGUAGACCUCAUUGCGGAGGGCUUGCGGACGCGGGUUCGAUUCCCGCCGCCUCCACCA
rnacentral:tmRNA from 1 species